AUUGAUACAACAAUGGCAGCAUUGUAGCCGAUGAGGUUUAACUGAGGCACGAUUAUUGCUUAUUGAAAACUUUUCCCAAUACCCUGCAAUGGCGGUUUGAAAUAUAGCCGGCAAUGGUGAUUUUUCAUAAGUCUCCAUGAAGA